rnacentral:misc_RNA from 1 species
GUGAAGAACGUAGCGAAAUGCGAUAAUUAAUGUGAAUUGCAGAAUUCAGUGAAUCAUCGAGUCUUUGAACGCACAUUGCGCCCCCUGGUAUUCCGGGGGGCAUGCCUGUCCGAGCGUCAUUGCUGCCCUCAAGCCCGGCUUGUGUGUUGGGCCCUGCUCCCCCGGGGGCAGGCCCGAAAGGCAGUGGCGGCACCGCGUCCGAUCCUCGAGCGUAUGGGGCUUUGUCACCCGCUCUGUAGGCCCGGCCGGCGCUUGCCGACCCCCAUCAAUCUUUUUUCAGGUUGACCUCGGAUCAGGUAGGGAUACCCGCUGAACUUAAGCAUAUCAAUAAGCGGAGGA